rnacentral:rRNA from 1 species
AUUGAACGCUGGCGGCAUGCCUUACACAUGCAAGUCGAACGGCAGCACGGGAGCAAUCCUGGUGGCGAGUGGCGAACGGGUGAGUAAUGUAUCGGAACGUGCCCAGGCGUGGGGGAUAACGUAGCGAAAGCUACGCUAAUACCGCAUACGAUCUAUGGAUGAAAGCGGGGGACCGUAAGGCCUCGCGCGAUUGGAGCGGCCGAUAUCAGAUUAGGUAGUUGGUGGGGUAAAGGCCUACCAAGCCGACGAUCUGUAGCUGGUCUGAGAGGACGACCAGCCACACUGGGACUGAGACACGGCCCAGACUCCUACGGGAGGCAGCAGUGGGGAAUUUUGGACAAUGGGCGCAAGCCUGAUCCAGCAAUGCCGCGUGCAGGAUGAAGGCCUUCGGGUUGUAAACUGCUUUUGUACGGAGCGAAAAGGCUCUCUCUAAUACAGGGGGCUCAUGACGGUACCGUAAGAUUAAGCACCGGCUAACUACGUGCCAGCCGCCGCCGUAA